AUACAGAGGGUGCAAGCGUUAUGCGGAAUUACUGGGCGUAAAGCGCGCGUAGGCGGAUGAUUAAGUCAGUUGUGAAAGCCCUGGGCUCAACCUAGGAACUGCAUCUGAUACUGGUCGUCUAGAGUUUAAGAGAGGGAAGUGGAAUUCCAGGUGUAGCAGUGAAAUGCGUAGAUAUCUGGAGGGACAUCAGUGGCGAAGGCGACUUCCUGGCUUAAAACUGACGCUGAGGUGCGAAAGCGUGGGUAGCGAACGGGAGUAGAAACCCUAGUAGUCC
rnacentral:rRNA from 1 species